rnacentral:rRNA from 1 species
AGUGAACGCUGGCGGUAGGCCUAACACAUGCAAGUCGAACGGCAGCACAGUAAGAGCUUGCUCUUACGGGUGGCGAGUGGCGGACGGGUGAGGAAUACAUCGGAAUCUACUUUUUCGUGGGGGAUAACGUAGGGAAACUUACGCUAAUACCGCAUACGACCUACGGGUGAAAGCAGGGGAUCUUCGGACCUUGCGCGAUUGAAUGAGCCGAUGUCGGAUUAGCUAGUUGGCGGGGUAAAGGCCCACCAAGGCGACGAUCCGUAGCUGGUCUGAGAGGAUGAUCAGCCACACUGGAACUGAGACACGGUCCAGACUCCUACGGGAGGCAGCAGUGGGGAAUACUGGACGAUGGGCGAGAGCCUGAUCCAGCCAUACCGCGUGGGUGAAGAAGGACUUCGGGUUGUAAAGCCCUUUUGUUGGGAAAGAAAAGCAGCAGGUUAAUACCCCGCUGUUCUGACGGUACCCAAAGAAUAAGCACCGGCUAACUUCGUG